UAACGGCGAGUGAAGCGGCAACAGCUCAAAUUUGAAAUCUGGCCUCCUUUGGGGGUCCGAGUUGUAAUUUGUAGAGGAUGUUUCGGGUACCGCCUCGGUCUAAAUUUCUUGGAACAGAAUGUCAGAGAGGGUGAGAAUCCCGUCUUGGACCGGCGGUAGGGCCCGUGUGAAACUCCUUCGACGAGUCGAGUUGUUUGGGAAUGCAGCUCAAAAUGGGUGGUAAAUUUCAUCUAAAGCUAAAUAUGGGCCAGAGACCGAUAGCGCACAAGUAGAGUGAUCGAAAGAUGAAAAGCACUUUGAAAAGAGAGUUAAACAGUAUGUGAAAUUGUUGAAAGGGAAGCGCUUGCGACCAGACUUGAGCGCGGCGGUUCCCCCUUCCUUUUGGUUGGGUUACUCCGCCGUGUCCAGGCCAACAUCGGUUCUGGGGGCCGGUUAAAGGCCCUGGGAAUGUACCUACCCUCCGGGCGUAGACUUAUAGCCCAGGGUGUCAUGCGGCCUCCCGGGACCGAGGAACGCGCUUUGGCUCGGAUGUUGGCGUAAUGGUUGUCAGCGACCCGUCUUGAAACACGGACCAAGGAGUCUAACAUCUAUGCGAGUGUUUGGGUGUCAAACCCGGAACGCGGAAUGAAAGUGAACGGAGGUAGGAAGCCUUGCGGCUGCACUAUCGACCGAUCCUGAAGUCUUCGGAUGGAUUUGAGUAAGAGCAUAGCUGUUGGGACCCGAAAGAUGGUGAACUAUGCCUGAAUAGGGUGAAGCCAGAGGAAACUCUGGUGGAGGCUCGCAGCGGUUCUGACGUGCAAAUCGAUCGUCAAAUUUGGGUAUAGGGGCGAAAGUAAGUUUAACCAAUCCACCCCCCCUUUUUUUUUUCUUCGGGGGAACAAUCCACUAACAAUCUUCUUCACAGGACUAAUCGAACC
rnacentral:rRNA from 1 species